rnacentral:rRNA from 1 species
CCAGGCCCUAUGGGGCGCAGCAGGCGAGAAAACUUUGCAAUGUGCGAAAGCACGACAAGGUUAAUCCGAGUGGUUUCUGCUAAAGGAACCUUUUGUCAGUCCUAGAAACACUGAUGAAUAAGGGGUGGGCAAGUUCUGGUGUCAGCCGCCGCGGUAAAACCAGCACCUCAAGUGGUCAGGAUGAUUAUUGGGCCUAAAGCAUCCGUAGCCGGCUCUGUGAGUUUUCGGUUAAAUCUGUACGCUCAACGUACAGGCUGCCGGGAAUACUGCAGAGCUAGGGAGUGGGGAGAGGUAGACGGUACUCGGUAGGAAGGGGUAAAAUCCUUUGAUCUAUUGAUGACCACCUGUGGCGAAGGCGGUCUACCAGAACACGUCCGACGGUGAGGGAUGAAAGCUGGGGGAGCAAACCGGAUUAGAUACCCGGGUAGUCCCAGCUGUAAACUAUGCAAACUCAGUGAUGCAUUGGCUUGUGGCCAAUGCAGUGCUGCAGGGAAGCCGUUAAGUUUGCCGCCUGGGAAGUACGUACGCAAGUAUGAAACUUAAAGGAAUUGGCGGGGGAGCACCACAAGGGGUGAAGCCUGCGGUUCAAUUGGAGUCAACGCCAGAAAUCUUACCCGGAGAGACAGCAGAAUGAAGGUCAAGCUGAAGACUUUACCAGACAAGCUGAGAGGUGGUGCAUGGCCGUCGCCAGCUCGUGCCGUGAGAUGUCCUGUUAAGUCAGGUAACGAGCGAGAUCCCUGCCUCUAGUUGCCACCAUUACUCUCAGGAGUAGUGGGGCGAAUUAGCGGGACCGCCGCAGUUAAUGCGGAGGAAGGAAGGGGCCACGGCAGGUCAGUAUGCCCCGAAACUCUGGGGCCACACGCGGGCUGCAAUGGUAACGACAAUUGGUUUCAAAUCCGAAAGGAUGAGGUAAUCCUCAAACGUUACCACAGUUAUGACUGAGGGCUGCAACUCGCCCUCACGAAUAUGGAAUCCCUAGUAACUGCGUGUCAUUAUCGCGCGGUGAAUACGUCCCUGCUCCUUGCACACACCGCCCGUCGUUUCAUUGAAGUGAGCUUUUAGCGAGGUGACGUCUGAUUGGCGUUAUCGAACUUGAGGUUCGUGACAAGGGAAAAGUCGUAACAAGGUAACC